rnacentral:rRNA from 1 species
UGGGGAAUAUUGCACAAUGGGCGCAAGCCUGAUGCAGCCAUGCCGCGUGUGUGAAGAAGGCCUUCGGGUUGUAAAGCACUUUCAGCGGGGAGGAAGGCGGUGAGGUUAAUAACCUCACCGAUUGACGUUACCCGCAGAAGAAGCACCGGCUAACUCCGUGCCAGCAGCCGCGGUAAUACGGAGGGUGCAAGCGUUAAUCGGAAUUACUGGGCGUAAAGCGCACGCAGGCGGUUUGUUAAGUCAGAUGUGAAAUCCUCGGGCUCAACCUGGGAACUGCAUCUGAUACUGGCAAGCUUGAGUCUCGUAGAGGGGGGUAGAAUUCCAGGUGUAGCGGUGAAAUGCGUAGAGAUCUGGAGGAAUACCGGUGGCGAAGGCGGCCCCCUGGACGAAGACUGACGCUCAGGUGCGAAAGCGUGGGGAGCAAACAGG